AAAUUUAAAAAUUAAUACAUAUUUUUGGAUACCAAUCAAGAUAAUGAAGACUCGUGUAUCAAUGCUAUUAUUUUAUAUUCUAUUGUUUUUUAUUAGCUGGGGAAAAGCUGAAAAUAAGUGCGUCGACUGCAGCUCAAUCAUUGAUGCGAACUGUAAAGUUGACAAAACGGGAAUGGGGUAUUUAAGGAAAUCUGAAAGGGACAGCUUAUUAGUUGAGGAACUUGAAGACGAUGAGAAACCCGAUCUUAAAUUAGAGAAAUGCAUAAAUCCAGGAUACAAACUUAUAGGUACUCUUUCAACUUUUUGUUGUUUUUGGUCUCCAAAAUUAAAAUGCCAGGCAGUAGCAGCGAAAUCAUAUUUAGAUGAUCCACGUAGUCAACAAACUAUAUGUGCAACAUGUGCCAGUUAUUGUGGAUGUGAUUAUUCAAAGGGAUUUUCGUCAUUCAUAUUUAGAGUGCAUAUAUUAUCAAUUUAUUUGUCAUUGCUCAUAAUAUGCUAUUAAGAAAUCAUGUGGAUUAAUCUUUAGUUAUGUCUGGAUUACUUAUAUAAAAUCUACAGACCUUAUUCUAUUUAAUUACUUAUAUAUAUAUAAAUUUUUGACACGUGAAAUUUGAACUUGAACUAAAAUUUUGGACGAUUAAAGAAAUUCCAAAAAUGUCUAUGGUUAAUGAUACCCAAUGUCUUGUCUCGUUGUCCAAACGACAUUAAAUGAACAUUUAUUAAAUUAAAUUCUGGACUUCAA